GGUGGGCGGAAGGGUGCUUUCCGCCUCAGCUCCGCCCCUCGCGGGUGAGGCAGGCUGUGCGGGACACUCCCAGGCUUCGGCUUCCCACGCCCACUUCGUUCCCAUGUGUCCUCGUCACCAUCAGUAUUGAAAAGGCACUUUCUCAAGUCUGCACACAGGUCCUGAGAGGACGUCCGUAUCUUCUUUGCUGAUGGAGGAACACCACUCCGACAAUGGUGAAAGCAAGAAACAUUCCCGCGAGGACCACAAAGAUGCGGAUGCAGUCUGGGCUGCACAGGGACCUUUCGGCUGUGACGGGCAGGGGCCACACCGCGGGUUUGGGGAAGGGCCUAGUGCUUGACUCCCCGUAUUCCAGGCCUCCUGUUGUCCUGCCUCUCUCCUCUCCCCGACUCCACCCAGCCGGUGAACAAGUCCCCUCCUAAUUCCCACACUCUGCUGCUGCUCCCUUUUCUCACCCCUAGUCCCAGGACCUUUCUGGGCAUUCUCUCUGCAGUUGGGAAGUGGGGACAAAACUCACGUGGCCAUGAGGUGGAGAGAGCUGGGGCAGGCAGCUGCCUGAAGUCAGCCAGAGUCUGAAAGUGCUGGGUUGUCCUGGCCUCUAUUACCUCUGGCAAAACACACAGAGUGAGCAUCAGCAGGGAUCCCGCAGCAACUAAGGCUGGGCUGGAGGCCUAAGAGGUGCUGGGUGAGAUGGGAAGGCAGACAGGCUGGCCAGGCAGCUCAUGUGGGAUGGGUACCACGUGUAGGGUGCUGGUUGGGGUGUGACCCUUACUGCUGUGGCAGGACAGAGGGUUGCCUGGAACUUACUUUUGGCAUAAGGUAAGUGGCUGGGUUGUGGGGGAGAGCCCAGGGUUGGAGAUGGAUGCUGGCUCAGCGCGGCGUUGGGAGGAGGGUCACAUUCCGUGCACUCCUUGUCCCUGCACUGCCAGUCCUCGGAGCAAGCACACUCGGCAUUGGCAGUGAGGGUGCAGUUUCGAAUGAGAAGACCUGGGGACAGAGGAGGGCCACACAGGACCCUCAGGCCUCAGAGGCCUGGAAGGCCCACUUGCUUAGUCCUCCCCGCCAGGCCCCACCUCAGACCCACCUCCAGGGACAUGCUGCCCUCUGUGUCCUCCCCACCCCCACCGGAAACUUGACCCUGUCACUGUCACCCACUGCCUUUGCCAUUAUUGCUGUUGUCAUUACAGAAAAAACUUGGACCUUUUGGAAAACUCAUGAUUCAGAAAUAGGAACACUGAAAAGUAGAAACAGCUUACGAGAUUUUCUGUCUUACUGAUACCUUUAUAACUUGUAACUGAAGCAUAGCAUACUUAGAGGUGCACAUGCCAUAAAUAUAAUGCAUGAGAACUGGUACCAAUUGAGUUCAUAGGAGUAAGCAGCACCAGAUCAAGAAACAAGAUGACCAGCAGUGUCAUCUAACACCCCCAAGAAUAGCGACUAGGUUGACUUUUACUGGUGCCAGUCGUUUUGCACCACAUGUAUAGACUCGUGUGUGCUCAUCUGUCCAGCUGCUUUUGCUCAGUCUCUGUGAGAGUCCUCUGUAUUGCUGCCUGCGACCACAGUCUGUGCUCAUGCUGUGUAGUAUUCCACCGUAUGAAUGGGCCAUGACUGGUCCAUCCCUUCUGAUGUUAACAGGCAUUUGGAUAGUUUCCAGUUUUUAGCAAUCAGAAAUCGUGUUGCAGUGGUUUCUGGUAGGUUUUUCCACUCUACUAGAAUUGCUUGAUUACUGACCUACUUUGCCUUUAAAGUAUACAUUUUAUUCAAGUAUAGAGGUCAGGUGCUGGGUGGCUGCUGAUUAGUUAUACUGGGGGAGGUGGGUGUGAAGGUCCCUGGGCUGAGUUGGACCCUCAGGUGGUUGGGGUUGAGAAGAGGAAGGUGAUUCUGGGGAAGGCAGCAGCACCGAGAUGUGGGCCAGGAUUGAGCGGGAGCCUGGUGGUGCCUUAGAGCAACUCACUAGGGCCCCAGUGAGAGGAGCCCUGGCAGGUGGGAGGAGGUGCAGGAUCCAAGGUAGGGAGCCACAGACAACAAUCAAUGCGAACAGUUUCCUUCCGUCUGGAAAGGGAGAGGGACACAAGAUCCUCCUUGCCAUCCUAUGCCCCUAGGGCUUCUUCUUCCUGAAUUCCAACUCAAAGUUGUUACUAGAAGCUUGUUUCCUUGUGGCUCACCAAGAAACGUGAGCCAGCCUGGCCAGGAUCCCCAAGAGGGAACAGUGCUGGCAGAGAGGGCAAGAGGUGGGCAAAGGUGAAGGAGGCUGAGGAGGGGGUGGUCCGGGGGUGUCUGCCCAAAGGGAAGGUAAAGGUUAAGGAGGGGCUGGGAUUGGUAAGGAAUGGAGGCAGUGACGUUCUCAGUGAUGAGCACCCAGAGACCUGGGUGUUCCAUUCCCCACGUGUGGCCUGUAGUUUCAGACACUUCACCAUCCUACAGACGGGAAUAUUGAGGUCAGAGAGGGCUAAACUCAUUCAGUCUCCUCUGACCCCCUCACACGUGGCCACACUCCUCCAGAGUCCUGCAGCCAGCUGUUGCCUGAGUAUUUUGGGCAUCUGUGGAUCCCAUGGGGAAGGCACAUGGUUCGGCUCUGGAACACGGCACAGGGAGCACAGACUGCCUGGCAUUUGGGAAAAGGCCUGGGGGUGGAGUUGCAAGGUGUGGGAAGGCUUGGACUAAGAAAAUCCCAGCCCUGCUGGGGUUUCUACCUCAAAGAGGAAAGCAUCCAUUAACAAUUGCAUUUUUAAGUUCAGUGGACUGAGAGUACUUCUCUCGCAUUCAAGAUGUUGCCAUUGGGCUGAUUUGCAAUGGCAGGACCUUUUAUUUAUUUUAAAGAAUACAGUCCUAAGAGGCCUAGUGAGACUGACUGCAUUUUACAGGUCAGUAGUGUAGUGGUUCAGUGAAGUGGUCCUCUAGAGUGUCUUGCUGGAGACCAUUUGUUCAAAGGGGCCACUUUAAAGCCUGAUACUCGUAUCUAUACUGGUACAUAGUUUCUGAACUUCUAGCUAAAAUGGAGAAACAACCAAAGAAUUCCUAACAGCUGCAGAUAAUACACUUCUUAAUUUUAAAAAAGCAGAAAUUACAAAGUAAAUAAGAAAAACACAGGCCACAUAUAUAUAUAUAUUCAUUUCCCUAAACUGGCUUUUACCCACUGGCUGGUAGUGUUAUUUCCUUAGAAAGAUGUAUUCCAAGUUCCAAACGAAUGUGCACCUCAGACAUAGCCAGCUCAUCAGUGGGGGGCUGCUCUGCUGAAAUCUGGGGUCCUAGAGGCUGUUCUCCCUCUUUACUGCCUUGCUCCAGCCAUAGACCCAUUUUCUGCAGUCCCCCAAAUUCUGCUUACUUCUUCCCUGCAACACUAGACCUCUCUGCCUGUCAUUGUGUGCCUACUCAGGGCGCCCCACUUCCUUGCCAGCUUUGGCUCCACUUGGUGUAGCCCUGAAGUCCCAACUCCCCUCCUCUCUGCUUCUCCAGUCCCAGCCCUGCCCAAGCCUCGCUCCCCCAAAUGCCUCCCCGCCUGGCUCACCGGAGUUGCAGUGCCGACAGCUCUCGCAGUGGCGCCGGUGGUGGUGGUCUGGUGCGAAGGAGGUCCCGGAGACACAUGGGUUACAGUGGGUGGCCUUUCCAUGCUGGUCACAGUCCUUCACGAGGAAUGUUCCUGUCAGUAGAGGGCCAGGGUCAAGGCCCGCGGGAGGCCGCUUCUCUGCCCCCUUCAAGGUGGUGCCCGUGGGGGGCUGGAUUCCUCUUCUUGCUCAAGCUCAGCCUUGCUCUCUGCUUUCCCUUCACCCCAAACAGCCCCCUCUUCCCCACAUCUCUUACCUGGCUCACACAUCUGACAGCACAGUUGUCCCCCAGCCCAGUAGUGCUUCUCUGGACAGCUCUUGGAGGUUGGGGUAGCUGAGAGCCCCGCCAGGGUCCCCAGCACCCACAGCCAGCAAGGAGGUGGCCGGGCCAUGGCUCCUGCCCAGGAUGCUUUUUCUGUGCCGUGGCUGUGCAGCGCUGGCCUCUGGGGUGGGUAGCUCCCAGCUGGGUGCUGGUGCCUCUUGCACCUCCUGGGUGGUAGCUGCAGGUCUGCUCUGAGUUGCCUGGCUUCAGGUGGCAAGCCAACCUUUGAUGGCAGUUGAAGCUCUAUUGUGGCUGUUUUUCUCUCACAGCGGCACCCUCCUCCCCCUUUUCCGUGUGCUGGGUGCUGGGGAGUGUGUUAAAGGUCAAAGUGUGAGAAGAAGACCUGCUGCUCUUCAAAGAUGCGCUAACAUACCAGCCUCUCCUUGGCUUCUGCCUGUCUCUCUCUCGUGCUUAUGCUCGUGAAGAACAUAAGAUGUUGGGUGUGCAGUCGCCCCUCUUCCUGUUCACUCACUUGUACACAAAGGUGCGCCUGUUACCCUUCUGGUCACAGCUCACAAGCUAAUAAGCACUUGAGAGAAGGAAGGGGACCCAGAACUGAGUACAGGUCCACAUGCUUGGGGUCAGAUAAGUUUUCAAAUUAAGGGUUUCACAGAUUUGGGGGAGAAACUAACUCAGAGCCCCCCUCACAGGACUGAGGUAGCCCUCACAAUCCCGCACAACAUCUCUGCAUUCAGAAUGAUUGACUAUUUCAACCAAGUGGGGCGAAUAAUGACUGACUGCCCUUGCAUUCAUUGGUGCCUGGUUUUAUGGCCAGCGGUGUGCUAUGGAAUUGCUCAGAAUUGCAAACAAGAGAUGGAAACCUGUCGAAACAUGACAUGUGGCCCUGUUUGGUCUUUCUGCCAGCCUGGGAUACGGGAUCACCACUGCCAUCUGGCCAGCCUCCCUCCUCUCCUGUCAUCCUCCCCUUCCUGUCUGGAGCACCUGGGCCAUCUCCUCCCCCAGCCUCGGGCACUUCGGAUCCGGUUCCAGGGCUCAUCUUCCCUAUUUCUGUGAUUCUCCUGGGAAGACUACUUUGGGGAUGUUGGAAAUAGCUGGAUUUUUCCCUCUUUGACCCCUGGGAAUGCAUGGGUCGGAGCCUCCCCUCCUCUUUCUCCAAGGCCUGAGGUAUGGGGUGGCUUAUUUCUCCAGGCCAUUUUUCAUUCAGGGACUUUGCAGUUGUUUCCACACUGCUGGUAAAAUGUCACACUCCUGUGAUCUCACCUGUUAGAUCUGUUCUCUAUCUCACUCUGGUUUCCUUUGUCUUCAUUGUUUCCAUACCCUCCUGCCUGUCCCCAACCCCCUCUGCUCUUCGGGAGGGUCCUCUGAGGGGGAAGUUGCCCAGGGGUGUGAGCUGAAGAGCCGCUGAGGCCCGCCCUUCCUUUCACGCUGGGGCCCAAGGAUGCUGCUGUCACUGGCAGUCCUUCCCCUUCUCAGGUUAAGGGCAGUGUCUUCACUGUUAGUCAUAAGCCUCGGUGGGGCCUGUGGGAUGGGUGAGACCCUAGAGGAAUGGUGACGAUUGGGGACCUGCAGGGAGGGACCUGCCAAAGGGGAGCAGGGGGGCUGAGGGGACCGCCAGCCUGGCCGGCCCAGGGCUACUCAUCCAUGCGAGGCCUACAUUCUCUCAGCCAGGUCCCGAGGCAGUGGGGGCUGCCUGGCUCUCAUGGAGUGCCCCUGGCCAGAGCAGGAAAGCCUGGCUUCCGGACCUUUCUUCUGGGCAAAUGGAAUGACCACCUCUUCUGCCUUCUGUGCUGUUUGCAUGGACUUCUGUGAGCCUUGGCCUCUCCUCAGCUGGCUCCCUAGUCCCCUCCUCUUGUCUACAGGCCCUGCAAGGCCCACCUGCUGACCUCUCCCUCCGAUCUUCUACCACCGCCUUCUCUUUUGGGGUUCAGCCUCUCCCCACACCUGGCUGGCAAAGAGAUAUGGUCUUUUCUAAACAACUCCCUCCCUUUUCUCCCAUCUCUAGAGCCAGGCCCACAGAAGCCCUUCUCUUUUGAUGACUUCCAUUACGUCAGAGAGGGCCUGACCAGCCCCUCAAUCUGGAGCAGUGACUGUAGCCUGUGUGUCAGCUGGGGUCACCCUGCUCCUCAAUAUCUAGAUCAGGUGCCCCUUGCUUUCCCAUCAGGGCAGAGCCUGGGCCGAGUGGGGAGGGCGUGGCGCUGUGGGCUGGUAGGAUUCCAGGUGUCAGGUGUGACGGUCACCUCUUGCUCUGCUUCCUUGUCCACCUGGAGUCUUCUGCUUUCCUCUUUGCUCUGGUGUCUCCUUACCUCUGCCCUGCCCCGGGCUCCACGUUUGGGACACAGGGCUUUCUUGAAUUUUCCUCCAAACCAACUGCUACCAGAAGAGUGUUAUGCAUGGCAAAACUUCUACUGAAGCUUAUAUAGCAUAAAGAUGUAAUUUAAAAUCUCAUUUUGGAUAUUCUUGUUCUUCCUGGUCUUUCCCACCCCAGAGAUUUGUUAGUGUGGCUACCCUGCAAAGCAGAAGGGCACUGACCAUCCUGCCGACUCCUCUCUCCCUUCCUGCCUCCUUUUUCCACGGCACGCUGCCUUUUAGAAAUCUUCUGUCAGGCAGCAUACCUCCUCUCUCUUUAGCCCCUAAUCCAAAAAUCAGUUGUGACCUUUUAUAAAUCUAUACACAGAGUACUCAGAGGAAUUAAAGUCUUUCAAGACAUUUACCUAGAAGAACGUUCUGUUAUAUUACAUUGCUGUCAGAAACCACAGCUCCUGAUCCUUAUCAACCAAACCCCUUGGUUUUUCCAGCCUUCUUCGUGCCCUCCUCCACUCCUACUUUCUUUGAUGCCCCGCACCCCACCAUAUCCUCCUGCCUUAGAUCCCCCUUCCCAGCCAGUUUUUGAGAGACAACUGGGCAGGACAGUGGGGUGACCUGGUCAGUGAGGGUCUGUGUGCUCACAUCCCAGUUCUAUAAUUUGCAUUCCUGGGAUUCCUCAGUCUGGGUCUCAUGGGGGACUGACCAACUGUGGACAUUUCUUCCAACCUCUGACCACAUUUCAGUACCUCAGCCCCAAAUCCUAGUGUCUCCUAGCACGCAGGCACUCAUGAACUAUUUGAUGGUCUAGCCUCAGCCUUGCCCAUGACAGUUCUAUCCACAGUAUCAGGUUGAAACUUCAGGGGGCCCAAGGGCGCAUUCACCUCCUAAACUCCACGCCUCAUGCAUUUGACAAGUUUUUGUUGCAUGUCCAUCCUGUGCCAGGUACCAGCUAAGGGACAGGCCACAAGGGUGAGAAAUAACAUGUGGUUUCUGCCCUCAUGGAGUUGACACACCAGCGAGAGAGUCAGACAUUGGUCAGAUAAUCUCAAAGGCAAAUAUGGAGUUAUUAGUAAUGGUCAUUACUGCAGUACCAUGAGAGGACAGUCGGGGCGCCUGUCCCCUAAUGGGGGAUUUGAGAGUUGGGGCCUCAACUAGGAAGCAUAGUUGAAUGGAGGUAAGUGAGAUCUGACUGCUCUCCACUUUCUUGAGAAUUGUUUCUUUGCUUUGGGUUUCUCGACCCCUACCCUAGUCUUCCUUUGAUCACUUCUCUUACUUGAUCAGUGGUUGUUUUUCUUAUAAACAGAUGAUAUGAAAUAGGGAUGAUCUGUUGCUUGAAGGCAGAAUUUGUAAAUUGGUAGAAUUUACAUGUGUGCAUGCGUAUUUUGAAAAAUUUUCACUACUGAUUUAAUUCAGGUUUUCCAUUUCUUCUAGUGUCAGUUUUGGUAGGUUAUAGUUUUCUGGGAGAUUGUCUGUUUAAUCUGUUUCAGAUUUAUGGGCAGAAUUGUUUAAAUCGCCAGUAGAUCGGUAAUUAUUUUUCCCUUUUUCACUCCUGAUAUUGUUCAUUUAUAGUUUCCUCAUUUUUUCUUGAUACACUUUGCCAGAAAUAUGUCUAACUUAUUAAUUGCUUCAAAGAACCACUUUUGAUUUUAUUGUUUUCUGUAUUAUUCUUUGCUUUCUGUUCCAUUUUACACUCUGAUCUAAUUUUAAAAUUAUUUCCUUCCUUUAAUUUUCCUGGAGUUUAUUGUGCUAUUCUUCUGACUUCUGGAUUAUUUGAUUCAUUGAUUUAACUUUUUCUUUUCUGAUAUCUGCAUUUAAGGCUAUAGACUUCCCUCUAAGAGCUAUUUAGCCACAUCUCUUAAGUUUCGCUGUAUUGUGUUUUCAUUAUUGUUUGUUAUUUUUUGCCAUUAUUAUUUAUUUUGACAUAUUUAUUCAUAAGUACAUUUUAAAACUUCCAGACAAAUGAAGUCUACAUUUUUUUCCUUUUUUAAAAAUUAAUUUUGGCUUUAUUUUAUUGUGGUCAGAGAAUGUCAUCUGUACGUGUAAUAUGGUAGGCAGAAUAUCGCCCCCCCCCCCAGUGCUGUCUCCAUCCCAGGAACUGAACAGGUUCUGUUACAUGGCAAAGGGGAAUUAAAGUUGCAGACAGAAUCAAGGUUGCUGAUCUGCCGACCUUGACGUAGGAGAUUACCCUGCAUUAUGGAGGUAGAUCCAUUGUAAUAGAAGGCUCCUGUGAGUGGAAGAGAUGCAGAGAGAGAACCGGAGAGACACUCCUGUGAGUGGAAGAAAUUCAGAGAGAGAACUGGAGAGACGCUCCUGUGAGUGGAAGAGAUGCAGAGAGAGAACUGGAGAGACGGCAGCACGAGAAUUCAGCAUGAUGCUGACUUUGAAGAUGGAGGAAGAGGUCCAUGAGCCAUGGACUGGGGGAGGCCUCCAGAAGCUAGAAUGAGCAGGGAAACUGAUUGUCCCCCGGCACUUCCAGGAAGAAACGCAGCCUGCCAACACUUGCAUUUAGCCUAGCGAAACCCAUGCCAAAUCUGACCCAUGGAACUCUGACAGUAAAUUUGGGUUCUUGACAGCCACUUAGUUUGUGACCAUUGGUUAUAGCAACCAUAGAAAACUAGUACAUACAGAUCCCCUGGCCUGUGUUUGAGAUUUACUCUGUGGCCUAGAGUGUAACUGUAAAUGUUCCAUAUGUGCUUGAAAAAAAUGUGUACUUGUAAACCAAACUUUUUUGAUUUUGUAUUUCAUU